rnacentral:rRNA from 1 species
AGUGAACGCUGGCGGUAGGCCUAACACAUGCAAGUCGAACGGCAGCACAGGAGAGCUUGCUCUCUGGGUGGCGAGUGGCGGACGGGUGAGGAAUACAUCGGAAUCUACUCUGUCGUGGGGGAUAACGUAGGGAAACUUACGCUAAUACCGCAUACGACCUACGGGUGAAAGCAGGGGAUCUUCGGACCUUGCGCGAUUGAAUGAGCCGAUGUCGGAUUAGCUAGUUGGCGGGGUAAAGGCCCACCAAGGCGACGAUCCGUUGCUGGUCUGAGGGGAAGAACAGCAACACUGGAACUGAGACACGGUGCAGACUCCUACGGGAGGCAGCAGUGGGGAAUAUUGGACAAUGGGCGCAAGCCAGAUCCAGCCAUACCGCGUGGGUGAAGAAGGCCUUCGGGUUGUAAAGCCCUUUUGUUGGGAAAGAAAUCCAGCUGGCUAAUACCCGGUUGGGAUGACGGUACCCAAAGAGUAAGCACCGGCUAACUUCGUGCCAGCCGCCGCCGUAA